UACGUAGGGUGCGAGCGUUAAUCGGAAUUACUGGGCGUAAAGCGUGCGCAGGCGGUCAGUCAAGUCUGAUGUGAAAGCCCCGGGCUCAACCUGGGAAUGGCAUUGGAAACUGGCUUGCUAGAGUGUGGCAGAGGGGGGUGGAAUUCCGCGUGUAGCAGUGAAAUGCGUAGAGAUGCGGAGGAACACCGAUGGCGAAGGCAGCCCCCUGGGCUAACACUGACGCUCAGGCACGAAAGCGUGGGGAGCAAACAGG
rnacentral:rRNA from 1 species